CUACGGGCUGCUGCAGUGGGGAAUAUUGGACAAUGGACGAAAGUCCGAUCCAGCGACACCGCGUGGGGGAUGAAGGCUUUCGGGUUGUAAACCCCUUUUCUGGAGGAAGAAUAAGGUUGGGAGGAAAUGCCCAUCCGAUGACGGUACUCCAGGAAUAAGCAUCGGCAAACUUCGUGCCAGCAGCCGCGGUAAGACGAAGGAUGCGAGCGUUAUCCGGAAUUACUGGGCGUAAAGGACGUCUAGGCGGUUGGAUAAGUCAUUUGUGAAAUCCCAGGGCUUAACCCUGGAAGGUCUUGUGAUACUGUCCGGCUUGGGUGUAGGAGAGGAGAGCGGAACUCACAGAGUAGCGGUGGAAUGCGUAGAUACUGUGAGGUACCCCGAUGGCGAAGGCAGCUCUCUGGCCUACUACCGACGCUGAAGCGUGAAAGCGUGGGGAGCAAAGGGGAUUAGAUACCCGGGUAGUC
rnacentral:rRNA from 1 species